AGCGCUUUUAUCUCGUCUCUGCAGGUGUUGGGCUUUGAUGCUGUAAAUAAACUGGAGAGUUUCCUGUCUCCUGUAACAGCGAGUGUGAUUGGAGGGUGUUGGACCUCUUUCUCUCUCAUUAAGGGGUGUGAGAGGAUGCCUGUACUUCUGUAUCAUCAGUGCGGAGAAGCUUGAACUGGAUGUUGAAUUAAUCAAGAAGAGAGAGAUGGAGAGAUGCCUGACACUCGUUUUACUGACUACAGUUGUUAAACUCAUCACAGCUGGUAAGUACA